AUUGAACGCUGGCGGCAGGCUUAACACAUGCAAGUCGAGCGGGGUGAUGGUGCUUGCACUAUCACUUAGCGGCGGACGGGUGAGUAAUGCUUAGGAAUCUGCCUAUUAGUGGGGGACAACAUCUCGAAAGGGAUGCUAAUACCGCAAACGUCCUACGGGAGAAAGCAGGGGAUCACUUGUGACCUUGCGCUAAUAGAUGAGCCUAAGUCGGAUUAGCUAGUUGGUGGGGUAAAGGCAUACCAAGGCGACGAUCUGUAGCGGGUCUGAGAGGAUGAUCCGCCACACUGGGACUGAGACACGGCCCAGACUCCUACGGGAGGCAGCAGUGGGGAAUAUUGGACAAUGGGGGGAACCCUGAUCCAGCCAUGCCGCGUGUGUGAAGAAGGCCUUAUGGUUGUAAAGCACUUUAAGCGAGGAGGAGGCUCUUUUGGUUAAUACCCAAGAUGAGUGGACGUUACUCGCAGAAUAAGCACCGGCUAACUCUGUGCCAGCAGCCGCCGUAA
rnacentral:rRNA from 1 species